rnacentral:rRNA from 1 species
AGUGAACGCUGGCGGCGUGCCUAAGACAUGCAAGUCGAACGAGAAAGUUUCCUUCGGGAAGCGAGUAGAGUGGCGCACGGGUGAGUAAUAACUAGAUAAUGUACCUUUUUGCUGGGGACAACAGGUGGAAACGCCUGCUAAUACCGAAUAGUUCCUUUUUUACUACGGUUUUUAAGGAUAAAGCCUUCGGGCGCGAAAAGAGCAGUCUAGUUCCCAUUAGCUAGUUGGUAGGGUAAGAGCCUACCAAGGCUACGAUGGGUAGUUGGUUUGAGAGGACGACCAGCCACACUGGCACUGAAAUACGGGCCAGACUCCUACGGGAGGCAGCAGUUAGGAAUCUUGCGCAAUGGGGGAAACCCUGACGCAGCAACGCCGCGUGAAUGAUGAAGGCCUUUGGGUCGUAAAGUUCUUUUAGUAGGGAAGAAAAAAAUGACGGUACCUACAGAAAAAGCACCGGCUAACUCCG